rnacentral:rRNA from 1 species
AUUAGCUAGUUGGAGGGGUAACGGCCCACCAAGGCUUCGAUCAGUAGCCGGUCUGAGAGGAUGAACGGCCACACUGGGACUGAGACACGGCCCAGACUCCUACGGGAGGCAGCAGUGGGGAAUCUUCCGCAAUGGACGAAAGUCUGACGGAGCAACGCCGCGUGAGUGAAGAAGGUUUUCGGAUCGUAAAGCUCUUUCGUCAGGGACGAACGUAUUUCUUGUAAAUAAUGAGAGAUAGUGACGGUACCUGAAUAAGAAGCCACGGCUAACUACGUGCCAGCAGCCGCGGUAAUACGUAGGUGGCAAGCGUUGUCCGGAAUUAUUGGGCGUAAAGCGCGCGCAGGCGGGAUAUCAAGUCUGUCUUAAAAGUGCGAGGCUCAACCUCGUGAGGGGACAGAAACUGGUAUUCUUGAGUGUCGGAGAGGAAAGUGGAAUUCCAAGUGUAGCGGUGAAAUGCGUAGAGAUUUGGAAGAACACCAGUGGCGAAGGCGACUUUCUGGACGAUGUCUGACGCUGAGGCGCGAAAGCUAGGGGAGCGAACGGGAUUAGAUACCCCGGUAGUCCCAGCCGUAAAC